AGGAGGAACAACCACAGUGGCCGUGGCCAGCUCUCGAGUCCCAGAUUCAGCUCCCACAGUAACUACGGAGCUCUCAGUCUGCAGGGGCCUGUAUGCUCCGGGGGCGG
rnacentral:pre_miRNA from 1 species